AAAAUAAGCGGUGCCAAGACUCAAGCCUGCCGCAAAAUUAGAUUCUCUCUGACCCGAAGAGACCUGUUCACCACUGCCGUGAAGGGAAGUAGGUGGCUCCCUCUGCCUACUCUGGGGAGAAGGCAAGGCGCUCUGCGUAUCCUCAGAGACACAGAUGACCUCUUGGACUGCCUGCGCAGUAGUAAUUUACUACUGUACAAAUUGUGCCCUAAUGACAGGCUCCAGGGCAUAAAUUCUACCAAGCUCUCACAUGAAGCACCGGAUGAUAUCCAGGCCUUCUCCUCCGAUGGACCCUCCUUUUCAGUAAAAUAACCCAAGGAUGCGCGCACAGGAGCACGCACGCACGCACUCUUUCCCGGAGCGUCUCUCGCUUCCGCGGCGAAGCAGCGACCGGCUGACGUCUCUUCCUUCCACGACGCUUCUCUGAUGUCUGAGAGGGCACAUGAUGGCAAUCAGGAUGAAAAGAUUAAGUCUAAUAAAGUAUCUCAGAAGAAUGGUUGUGGCAGAAGUUCUGAAAGGUUCAAAGUUUCCAGAAAUUUUAUAUCCCUAACUACCAUACAGUGCUUGCUUGCUGCUAUGAAGAGUAUUGUUCUAAAAAUAAUGUUACAGUAUGGUUGCAACCUGCUGUACUUUGCUACUUUAAGAGAAAUGCUUCAUUGUACUGUUCUUGGCUAUGCUGAGUUGUCCAAACAG